rnacentral:rRNA from 1 species
AUUGAACGCUGGCGGCAGGCCUAACACAUGCAAGUCGAACGAGUGGCGGACGGGUGAGUAAUGUCUGGGAAACUGCCUGAUGGAGGGGGAUAACUACUGGAAACGGUAGCUAAUACCGCAUACCAUCGGAUGUGCCCAGAUGGGAUUAGCUAGUAGGUGGGGUAAAGGCUAACAUAGGCGACGAUCCCUAGCUGGUCUGAGAGGAUGACCAGCCACACGUGAACUGAGACACGGUCCAGACUCCUACGGGAGUUAGCAGGUGGGAUUAUUGCACAAUUGGCGCAAGCCUGAUGCAGCCAUGCCGCGUGUAUGAAGAAGGCCUUCGGGUUGUAAAGUACUUUCAGCGGGGAGGCGUUACCCGCAGAAGAAGCACCGGCUAACUCCGUGCCAGCAGCCGCGGUAAUUC